AUGUAAGUGUAGCCGGUGAGCUAGCUCCUUUUUUGUGUAGGGCGUGGCCGAGUACAUGGUUGGGGGUUUAUAAGCGGGCAAUGGAGAGGACGCCAAAAUAUGAGGUGCGGUCCGUUUGUCUGGAUCGCAAGUGCGUGGGUGUGCUCUAGUUGUCGUUUGUGCCCUGAUCAGAUACGUGCGUCACAAUCUCAUAGACCAACGGUAAUGCUGGGUGGUUUGAGGAAAUCGGGUCAGUGGUGAUGGCAGUAUUGCAGCGUGCAGAAUCCAUUUCGAGUUGUUGUUUGAAUCCAUGCCCAGUGAAUGCUUGGCCACGCAACCCAGUGAUAGACACGUCUCGUGUCCCAUCCAUCAUCACAGAGUACUGCAGGUGUGGAAGUGAUCUGAUAUUUUUCGAUUAUUUCACGUAUGAUCACGCUGCUGAACAAAGUCAGGAUUUCAUUUUGAACCAUAGCUGAAGUAUAUACAUCCUUUCUACCACAUGUCAACCACUUGGUUAGAGAGGGGUCAUCCUCUGAUUUGUACUUCAGAACCUGAUCAAAAUUUCCCUCACCUCAUUCAUGGCCCAUAAAAGAUCUCUCAUGCACGGUAAAUCCAUCAAGGGCUUUUCCCAAAAAUUUUAAACCCAGAUGAAAUGAACGCUGAAUCAGAAUUCUUGGCAAGAGGUGAUAUCUCGGAGUUAGAGGCUUUGGAGCAGUAAAAGCCCAAUACACCCUCAACACCAGGACUCACAUGGAGCCAUGGAAACUUCUGGUACCACUGAGUCUCCUAAACAAGGUUGCAGUGGUAAAGGAAUAGGGUCAAACAGUUACAGCUGUGGCACUAGCAAACCUCAUUGAAUAUUGAAGUAAUUUCAUGAAAUAAAUGCAAACACUAUCUAAUGGUAAAAGGCUACUGUUGUUUAAUGUCGACAUUUUUUAAUUUUCAGCAUUCAACUUCACUUACAGGAUUUCUCUUGAAAAAGGUGAUAGUGGAAUGGGUCUGACAGGACUGUGACUGCAAACUUAACUUACUUGCGCUUUGAAAAGGGGAGAUAUAUAAAAAAUGUAUAUACGCCCACACAAAGCUUUUUCUCUGGUGGUAUAAAUAAUGUAACAAUUUACUGUUUAAAUAUUAAAAUAAUAUACACUUUUCUUUCAUAGUUACAGUAUUCAACAGGUAUGCAAACAAUGACAUAAUUUCUCACUUUUUUCUCCUCAACAGGUAGGUACAAUCAAACACAACAGGUAAGUAUCCACAAAAGUAUUCAGCUGAUCAACCAACAAUGCUCAAAAUAUCAAAAUCAAUUGCACUGGCAAUAAACUCAUACAUACACUGCUUAACAAUGACAAUAUGUCCCCAUCUUCUCGUCAAUUCCCUGCCUUCUUCAUCAAAGUUACUUUAUACAUUGCAUGUCACAUACAUUACCGAAUUUAGCUAGCUGCUGAACAUUAUCUCAAUUAGCAAUUAGCAUUAGUUUACAAAACGAAAAAUAAUACAGAAAUCACUCGACAUGUCAACAAAACAUAAACAGAACUUCUUCCCAAACACAUUUCAAGCUUAUUUAUAAACCUCGAAAGCAUAAACACUCAUUCAAAGUACCUGGAAAAGGGAUAUGAAAAUAACCAUAACCAUAAGUUCCCCCCUCUUCAGCACGAGCUGACCGAUAAAGGCAGAAUGGGACUUGAGGCCCCAAUCAGCCAAUCAUCAGCCGGUCACAUGUUUGAGAGGGAGGGGAGAGGAGGCAGCCGAAACGAUCGCAGACACAGAGCGGCCAGAAACGGAGGAGCGACUGCUGUAAGGCGUUUGUGCAAAACUGCGGAAAAAUUGCAGAAAAAGUGCGGGUGAACCCUCUCAACGGGAAAAGUGUGGGUGUUAAAACAUCCACAUCCCCCACGGGUGCGACACCCUUGCUGUGUGCAUAGGGCUACCACAUAGCCCCAACUAAGUGACAUGAUAUAUUAAUUAACAACAACAAGAAUAAACAAGAUCAGCAAAUAAUAAUCAUAAAAAAAACUUUGUUUUUUAUAGCAUUUCUACUGUGUUGGACUAUAAAGUCGCUUUCGCCACUGCGUCAAAAUAUUUCUCAAACGGUAGUGCCCACCGCCGAUUACCCAAUGCCCCUCCAGUAGAUCUGCUCUGGCACCGACUCUAACUUGGAGAUGAUGAACGAGUGUCCUAUGGUUGUCGAUCGACUUGAGGGUUCAUUUUGAAUUGUGUGGUUCAACAAAAAAAAUGAAUGCCGACACAAAGGAGGACUCAGAGUAUCUAUUAAUACUGACAGGAAGAUACUGCAGAAAUGGCUCCACUAUGCACCUGAGCGCUUGGAGGCAUUCCUUGUGGUGACACCCAUUAAUUCAUCAAGAUUAUCUGUGUAAUGAACCCUGUUUCAGUUUGUUGUUCUGUGGUUUCUCUCCUUGUUGGAGUUUGUAUAAUUGAUUUGGUUAUAGCUAUCGUUAUAGAUAUUUCCUUUGGAAGUUUGAUAAACUAAAAGUCCAUGUAAAAAUAUACAAUUUUAAGCUUUAUACAGUACGUUAGUAAGAUAAAGAAAUGUAUUGAGCUCUUGUCUUCACUGAAUGCAUUGCAUGUUUAAAUGAUGUGGAUGCAUAAAUAAAAACUUGUAAAUGUUGUAUUUA